rnacentral:sRNA from 1 species
GCUGGGCGUGGUGGCGAUCAUCUGUAAUUCCAGUUGCUCAGGAGGCUGAGGCAGGAGGAUCACAAGUUCAAAGCUAGCUUCAGCAAAAGUGAGGUGCCAAAAAACUCAGUGAGACCCUGUCUCUA